GCGAAUGCCGUUCGCCCGACCUACGGUCGGAC
rnacentral:scRNA from 1 species